GGGGUUAUAGCUCAGUGGUAGAGUUCUUGCCUUGCAUGCAUGAGGCCCUGGGUUCGGUCCCCAGCACCA
rnacentral:tRNA from 1 species